UCAACUCGUGUUUUUUCUCUUCUCCCAUCGUUAUAACGUCUUUUUGACAAAUGACAAAUUGCGCCUAACUUCUACGAUAGACACGUGGACACGUGUCGUCAUGAUGUAGUUUUGUCCGUAUGGAAAACGCUUUCCAUGUUGUAACCUAAGAUACAUUGAACAGUUCCUUUGUCCUUUCAACUUCGCUUUUUUCGAAGCUCUUUCCCUUACCCUACCACAACAUUACGCGUGUCCUUCUUAUUACAACAUUUGGCACAUAUACAUUUCAGAAAACCCGUCAACAAAAAACACGUGAAAUAAAAUAUCUCUUCCUUUACCAGUUCACAUAUUUCAUGGUUACUGUUCAAUCAUUUCGCCAAAAAAUCUUU